rnacentral:misc_RNA from 1 species
GAUGAAGAACGCCGCGAAAUGCGAUAAGUAAUGUGAAUUGCAGAAUUCAGCGAAUCAUCGAAUUUUUGAACGCACAUUGCGCCUCAGAGUAUUCUUUGAGGCAUACCUGUUCGAGCGUCGUUUAGACCAUAAGGCUUUGCCUUGCGUUGAUUUAUUGGAGCAAUCCAAUAAUCUAAACUUGUUGGCGUCGUAGUUUGACCAAGACACAGCACAAUGUGAUACUAGUUGAAAUAAUGACUGCCCGUUCCUAAAACUGUUUCUCACGAAACGUAGGUUCGACCUCGGAUCAGGUAAGACUACCCGCUGAACUUAAGCAUAUCAAUAAGCGGAGGA